rnacentral:rRNA from 1 species
AAUAGAUACCCCGGUAGUCUUGGCCAUAAACGAUGUUCACUAGGUGUUGGGGCUUUGCCUCGGUGCCGCAGCUAACGCAUUAAGUGAACCGCCUGGGAACUACGAUCGCAAGAUUAAAACUCAAAGGAAUUGGCGGGGGCCCGCACAAGCGGUGGAGCAUAUGGCUUAAUUCGAUGCAACGCGAAGAACCUUACCAGGGCUUGACAUGCACCUGCACGCUCCCGAAACGGAGUCGCCUUCGAGGGUGGUGCACAGGUGGUGCAUGGCUGUCGUCAGCUCGUGUUGUGAAAUGUUGGGUUAAGUCCCGCAACGAGCGCAACCCUCACGGUCUGUUACCAGCGAGUAAUGUCGGGAACUCGGACCGAACUGCCUCUGUAAAGAGGAGGAAGGUGGGGAUGACGUCAAGUCAUCAUGCCCCUUAGCCCUGGGCUGCACAUAUGCUACAAUGGCCGGUACAAAGAGCGGCGAACCCGCGAGGGUAAGCAAAGUCUCAAAAAGCCGGUCUCAGUUCGGAUUGGAGU